AUGUCGGGCGUGACGGCGGACGAGGACAAGAAGCCCGCGGGCGACGGCGGAGGCGCCCACAUCAACCUCAAGGUCAAGGGGCAGGAUGGCAAUGAGGUUUUCUUCCGCAUCAAGAGAUCCACACAGCUGAAGAAGCUGAUGAACGCCUACUGCGACCGUCAGUCUGUGGAUCUCAACUCCAUUGCUUUCCUUUUUGAUGGUCGUAGGCUCCGUGGUGAGCAGACCCCUGAUGAGCUUGAGAUGGAGGAAGGCGACGAGAUUGACGCCAUGCUUCACCAGACCGGAGGGGGCUUUCCUCGCCCUUAG
rnacentral:rRNA from 1 species